AUGGGGUUGGUGGAGACCACGCUACGGGACCCGGCUGCGAGCACGGCUCUGGCAGCAGAGGUGGCACGUCUCUUGGUAAAGGGGGCCAUCACUGUCGUUCCCCCCCCACGAGUCUCACCUAGGUUUUUAUUCCCGCUACUUCCUGGUUUCCAAGAAGUCAGGGGAAAUGAGACCUAUUCUGGAUCUUCGCGUGUUCAACAGAUUCGUUGCCACGAGGAAGUUCAGAAUGCUCACGGUCGGAGCAUUGUUCCGGUGUGUGAGAGAGGGACGAUUGGUUCACAUCCCUGGAUCUCAAGGAUGCUUACUUCCACGUCCCUGUUCGGCAGGCGCACAGGAAGUUUCUCCGCUUUGCCUUUAUGGGGAUGGCGUACGAGUACCAGUGUCUGCCGUUCGGCUAUUCCCUGGCGCCGCGCACCUUCUCGAAGUGUGUGGAGACGGCGUUGGAACCGCUCAGGACGUCAGGGAAAGAGGAUUCUCUUCUACCUAGACGAUCUGCUUAUUCUGAGCAACUCAGAAGAGACCGCGAGAAGGGACACCAUGUUGGUGAUAAACCAUCUCUCCUUCCUGGGUUUUGCCAUCAACUGGGAGAAGAGCUCCCCGCUCCCCAGCCGGCAGAACAGUCUACUUGGGGCUUUGCCUAGACUCAGCCACCAUGACUGCGAUGCUUUCGCCUCCUCGGCGAGACGCCAUCCUGUCGGCGCUCUCCCGUUUUCACGUUCGCAGAAACGUGACCGCACUGUCCACCAUGCGCCUGUUGGGGCUGAUGGCAGCUGCCCACCCCGUGGUCCCCCUGGGUCUGCUUUUUAUGCGCAGACUCCAGCGGUGGUUUGCUCACCAACGGUUGGACCCCAGGCGACACAAGCUCAGGGUGCUCCUCGUCCCCCGUUCGGUGUCGCCAGACCUGGAAUAUUGGAAAGGACCCUCCGCCCUUCUCAAGGGUGUUCCACUGGGCAGGGUGGCGUCCUACGUAGUGGUCUUCACGGACGCCUCGUUGACGGGUUGGGGAGGAACGUGCCUCUCUCACUCGGUCGGAGACGAGUGGCGCACGCCCCCUACAGCACACAUAAAUGUGUUGGAGCUCGACGCUGUGAGGAAAGUGCUGUUGCAUUUCUUUCACCUGGUGCGCGGCCGCCACGUUCUGAUCAGGACAGACAGCGUGUCGGUGGCGGCGUACAUCAACAGACAGGGGGGAGUCCGCUCCCCUGCUCUCCACCGAAAGGCGGUCGAGCUCUGGCUUUGGGCUCAUCAGUAUCUCCGCAGUCUGAGAGCCCUGCAUAUCGCGGGCGCCCAGAACUUUGGGGCGGACCUCAUGUCUCGAGGCGGUCCCCGCCGAGACGAGUGGCGGUUACAUCCCGACAUUGUCAGACUGAUCUGGCAGAGGUUCGGGACAGCGCAGGUGGACCUCUUCGCGUCCCGGGAGAACACGCACUGCAGGUGGUGGUUCUCCCUCAGCCCUCGAGAUCUUCCCCCGUUGGGGGUAGAUGCGUUGGCACACACACCUUGGCCGCGGACUCUCUUGUAUGCGUUUUUCCCCCGCUCCAGCUGAUCCUUCCUCUUCUGGAACGGGUCAGACAGGAGAGACUGUCCCUGAUAUUAGUGGCCCCGGAGAACCGUGCAGCUCUGUGGUUUCCAGAGCUUGCCGCGCUCUCGCGGUCGCGCCUUGGCCAGUACCAUUCAGGCCGGAUGCGCUUUCACAGGCCCACGGGACGGUGCACCACCCGCCCGAUGUCUCGGGACGGCUGUUGGUUUGGCUCCUGA
ensembl:lncRNA